rnacentral:rRNA from 1 species
UACGAAGGGGGCUAGCGUUGUUCGGAAUCACUGGGCGUAAAGCGCACGUAGGCGGACUCUUAAGUCGGUGGUGAAAUCCUGGAGCUCAACUCCAGAACUGCCUUCGACACUGGGAGUCUCGAGUUCGGGAGAGGUGAGUGGAACUGCGAGUGUAGAGGUGAAAUUCGUAGAUAUCAGGAAGAACACCCGUGGCGAAAGCGGCUCUCUGGAACGGUACUGACGCUGAGACGCGAAAGCGUGGGGAGCAAACAGG